rnacentral:rRNA from 1 species
GGGUUGUGAGGUUAAGCGACUAAGCGUACACGGUGGAUGCCCUGGCAGUCAGAGGCGAUGAAGGACGUGCUAAUCUGCGAUAAGCGUCGGUAAGGUGAUAUGAACCGUUAUAACCGGCGAUUUCCGAAUGGGGAAACCCAGUGUGAUUCGUCACACUAUCAUUAACUGAAUCCAUAGGUUAAUGAGGCGAACCGGGGGAACUGAAACAUCUAAGUACCCCGAGGAAAAGAAAUCAACCGAGAUUCCCCCAGUAGCGGCGAGCGAACGGGGAGCAGCCCAGAGCCUGAAUCAGUGUGUGUGUUAGUGGAAGCGUCUGGAAAGGCGCGCGAUACAGGGUGACAGCCCCGUACACAAAAAUGCACAUACUGUGAGCUCGAUGAGUAGGGCGGGACACGUGGUAUCCUGUCUGAAUAUGGGGGGACCAUCCUCCAAGGCUAAAUACUCCUGACUGACCGAUAGUGAACCAGUACCGUGAGGGAAAGGCGAAAAGAACCCCGGCGAGGGGAGUGAAAAAGAACCUGAAACCGUGUACGUACAAGCAGUGGGAGCACAGAGCAAUCUGUGUGACUGCGUACCUUUUGUAUAAUGGGUCAGCGACUUAUAUUCUGUAGCAAGGUUAACCGAAUAGGGGAGCCGAAGGGAAACCGAGUCUUAACUGGGCGUUAAGUUGCAGGAUAUAGACCCGAAACCCGGUGAUCUAGCCAUGGGCAGGUUGAAGGUUGGGUAACACUAACUGGAGGACCGAACCGACUAAUGUUGAAAAAUUAGCGGAUGACUUGUGGCUGGGGGUGAAAGGCCAAUCAAACCGGGAGAUAGCUGGUUCUCCCCGAAAGCUAUUUAGGUAGCGCCUCGUGAAUUCAUCUCCGGGGGUAGAGCACUGUUUCGGCAAGGGGGUCAUCCCGACUUACCAACCCGAUGCAAACUGCGAAUACCGGAGAAUGUUAUCACGGGAGACACACGGCGGGUGCUAACGUCCGUCGUGAAGAGGGAAACAACCCAGACCGCCAGCUAAGGUCCCAAAGUCAUGGUUAAGUGGGAAACGAUGUGGGAAGGCCCAGACAGCCAGGAUGUUGGCUUAGAAGCAGCCAUCAUUUAAAGAAAGCGUAAUAGCUCACUGGUCGAGUCGGCCUGCGCGGAAGAUGUAACGGGGCUAAACCAUGCACCGAAGCUGCGGCAGCGACGCUUAUGCGUUGUUGGGUAGGGGAGCGUUCUGUAAGCCUGUGAAGGUGUACUGUGAGGUAUGCUGGAGGUAUCAGAAGUGCGAAUGCUGACAUAAGUAACGAUAAAGCGGGUGAAAAGCCCGCUCGCCGGAAGACCAAGGGUUCCUGUCCAACGUUAAUCGGGGCAGGGUGAGUCGACCCCUAAGGCGAGGCCGAAAGGCGUAGUCGAUGGGAAACAGGUUAAUAUUCCUGUACUUGGUGUUACUGCGAAGGGGGGACGGAGAAGGCUAUGUUGGCCGGGCGACGGUUGUCCCGGUUUAAGCGUGUAGGCUGGUUUUCCAGGCAAAUCCGGAAAAUCAAGGCUGAGGCGUGAUGACGAGGCACUACGGUGCUGAAGCAACAAAUGCCCUGCUUCCAGGAAAAGCCUCUAAGCAUCAGGUAACAUCAAAUCGUACCCCAAACCGACACAGGUGGUCAGGUAGAGAAUACCAAGGCGCUUGAGAGAACUCGGGUGAAGGAACUAGGCAAAAUGGUGCCGUAACUUCGGGAGAAGGCACGCUGAUAUGUAGGUGAAGUCCCUCGCGGAUGGAGCUGAAAUCAGUCGAAGAUACCAGCUGGCUGCAACUGUUUAUUAAAAACACAGCACUGUGCAAACACGAAAGUGGACGUAUACGGUGUGACGCCUGCCCGGUGCCGGAAGGUUAAUUGAUGGGGUUAGCGCAAGCGAAGCUCUUGAUCGAAGCCCCGGUAAACGGCGGCCGUAACUAUAACGGUCCUAAGGUAGCGAAAUUCCUUGUCGGGUAAGUUCCGACCUGCACGAAUGGCGUAAUGAUGGCCAGGCUGUCUCCACCCGAGACUCAGUGAAAUUGAACUCGCUGUGAAGAUGCAGUGUACCCGCGGCAAGACGGAAAGACCCCGUGAACCUUUACUAUAGCUUGACACUGAACAUUGAGCCUUGAUGUGUAGGAUAGGUGGGAGGCUUUGAAGUGUGGACGCCAGUCUGCAUGGAGCCGACCUUGAAAUACCACCCUUUAAUGUUUGAUGUUCUAACGUUGACCCGUGAUCCGGGUUGCGGACAGUGUCUGGUGGGUAGUUUGACUGGGGCGGUCUCCUCCUAAAGAGUAACGGAGGAGCACGAAGGUUGGCUAAUCCUGGUCGGACAUCAGGAGGUUAGUGCAAUGGCAUAAGCCAGCUUGACUGCGAGCGUGACGGCGCGAGCAGGUGCGAAAGCAGGUCAUAGUGAUCCGGUGGUUCUGAAUGGAAGGGCCAUCGCUCAACGGAUAAAAGGUACUCCGGGGAUAACAGGCUGAUACCGCCCAAGAGUUCAUAUCGACGGCGGUGUUUGGCACCUCGAUGUCGGCUCAUCACAUCCUGGGGCUGAAGUAGGUCCCAAGGGUAUGGCUGUUCGCCAUUUAAAGUGGUACGCGAGCUGGGUUUAGAACGUCGUGAGACAGUUCGGUCCCUAUCUGCCGUGGGCGCUGGAGAACUGAGGGGGGCUGCUCCUAGUACGAGAGGACCGGAGUGGACGCAUCACUGGUGUUCGGGUUGUCAUGCCAAUGGCACUGCCCGGUAGCUAAAUGCGGAAGAGAUAAGUGCUGAAAGCAUCUAAGCACGAAACUUGCCCCGAGAUGAGUUCUCCCUGACUCCUUGAGAGUCCUGAAGGAACGUUGAAGACGACGACGUUGAUAGGCCGGAUGUGUAAGCGCAGCGAUGCGUUGAGCUAACCGGUACUAAUGAACCGUGAGGCUUAACCUUACAACGCCGAAGGUGUUU